UACGUAGGGUGGCAAGCGUUGUCCGGAAUUUAUUGGGCGUAAAGAGCUCGUAGGCGGUUCUGUCGCGUGCCUGAAGCGGAUCCGGACUCCAGGUCGUAUCGCGGUGGGUACGGGCAGACUAGAGUGAUGUAGGGGAGACUGGAAUUCCUGGUGUAGCGGUGAAAUGCGCAGAUAUCAGGAGGAACACCGAUGGCGAAGGCAGGUCUCUGGGCAUUAACUGACGCUGAGAGCGAAAGCAUGGGGAGCGAACAGG
rnacentral:rRNA from 1 species